UACAGAGGUCCCAAGCGUUGUUCGGAUUCACUGGGCGUAAAGGGCGCGUAGGCGGCUCGUGAAGUCGGGUGUGAAAGCCCGGGGCUCAACCCCGGAACGGCAUCCGAUACUGGCGGGCUUGAGACCGGGAGAGGAGGGUGGAAUACCCAGUGUAGAGGUGAAAUUCGUAGAUAUUGGGUGGAACACCGGUGGCGAAAGCGGCUCUCUGGCCCGGAUCUGACGCUGAGGCGCGAAAGCGUGGGGAGCAAACAGG
rnacentral:rRNA from 1 species